CCCUUAGAUGUUCUGGGCUGCACGCGCGCUACACUGAAGCUAUCAACACGUUUUCCCUCCCUGAGAAGGGCGGGUAACCUUUUGAAUCAGCUUCGUGGUAGGGAUCGGGGCUUGCAAUUGUUCCCCGUGAACCAGGAAUUCCUAGUAGACGCGAGUCAUAAGCUCGCAUCGAUUAAGUCCCUGCCCUUUGUACACACCGCCCGUCGCUACUACCGAUUGAACGUUUUAGUGAGGCAUUUGGACCGACGCAUCUCAGUUUAACCGCUGGUUUGUGUUGGAAAGACUUCCAAACUUGAGCGUUUAGAGGAAGUAAAAAUCGUAACA
rnacentral:rRNA from 1 species